GCUUUGAACUAGCUUUCCGUUGUUGCGAGAACUCUAAUAUCGAUACUUUGUGUCUUUUGUACUUUGUGUCUUUUGUUUUUAUGUUAUUUUUUUUUGCGUUGAUUCGUGCCAAUCUGACGAGUCUAAGCCAUUUCAGACUAACUUGUAUAGAGUGUUCUUAAAUUCUUAAGUUGUGCUUAUACACCACUGUCGCAGGUGAGGAGAGGGUUGUACGCUCACACACAUGUUAAAAUCAGCCACAUUCUAUACCUUCAUGCAAGCCAGGAGUCUGUAACUCAGUGUCUGUCGUUGGUAAGUUGAUGUUUGUAAUGUUUGUUUUCCCUCGUUUUCUAUGGAUCAUAUUCGAGCUGUUGACUUCUCGUUUGAAUUCAGUCGUGUUAUGCCAUAAUGGCAUGUAAACAGUUCACUAUACAAUCUAGGUUUAACUCAUUGUUGAAGGCUUUAUAGUGACUUAUGGUUUCUUUAAACACGACAUUUGGACUCUGGUGGAUACUUGUCUCAAUUUCAUUCAUAAUUCAUCUCCUUUUUUUAUAUUUAUAUCAAAGCACGAAAAAGUUUUCCCUUGCCAUCACUUGCCAUCACGUGAAAUGCUUCCUCUAUUUUCUCUUUACCCAUCAAUACCAUUGCAUGUGAGUAAAUCAUAUCCUUUUUGAUAAAGGUCAUUAGAUAAAAAAAAUGGAGUCCUUUAAAAUGUUUGCUAGUUUUGCUAUUGAUUUGUACAAUAUUUC
rnacentral:lncRNA from 1 species